rnacentral:rRNA from 1 species
GCUAAGAAUAUUCCGCAAUGGGAGCAAUCCUGACGGAGCGACGCCGCGUGAACGAAGAAGGCAGAAAUGUUGUAAAGUUCUUUUAUACGGGAAGAAUAAUGGCAGUACUGGAAUGAUUGUCAGAUGACGGUACCGUAUGAAUAAGCCCCGGCUAACUACGUGCCAGCAGCCGCGGUAAUACGUAGGGGGCUAGCGUUGUUCGGAUUUAUUGGGCGUAAAGGGCAUGUAGGUGGUUAUGUAAGUGUGGAUUUAAAGACCGGAGCUUAACUCCGUGUAUGGUCUGCAAACUGCAUGACUUGAGUAUGGGAUGGGAGACUGGAAUUCCACGUGUAGGGGUGAAAUCUGUAGAGAUGUGGAAGAAUACCUGUGGCGAAGGCGAGUCUCUGGCCUGUAACUGACGCUGAAAUGCGAAAGCGUGGGUAUCAAACAGGAUUAGAAACCCGUGUAGUCC